UUAGUGGCGUUUGUUUUCCGUCAAAAGUAAUAAAAGCAUGCCAACCUAUCUUGAAAAUGGGAAACUAAAAAGAUGAUUGCCUUUUGAACGAGGCAAGCCUCACUCACAGACAGAAUGAGUAGUGGUAUUGGUAAUC
rnacentral:ncRNA from 1 species